rnacentral:tRNA from 1 species
UCUCAGUUGGUAGAGCAUGGUGUUUGCAACACCAGGGUUGUGGGUUCGAUUCCCAC